rnacentral:rRNA from 1 species
CCUACGGGGGGCAGCAGUGGGGAAUAUUGCUCAAUGGGCGAAACCCUGACGCAGCGACGCCGCGUGAGGGAUGAAGGUCUUCGGAUCGUAAACCUCUGUCAGCAGGGAAGAACGGUCACUGUGCUAAUCAUCAGUGAAUUGACAGUACCUGCAAAGGAAGCACCGGCUAACGCCGUGCCAGCGGCUGCGGUAAUACGGAGGGUGCGAGCGUUAAUCGGAAUUACUGGGCGUAAAGGGCGCGUAGGCGGUAUGUCAAGUCAAGGGUGAAAUCCCCGGGCUCAACGUGGGAACUGCCUUUGAAACUGGCAGACUGGAGUGUGUGAGAGGAUAGUGGAAUUCCAGGUGUAGGAGUGAAAUCCGUAGAUAUCAGGAGGAACAUCGGUGGCGAAGGCGACUAUCUGGCACGUGACUGACGCUGAGGAGCGAAGGCGUGGGUAGCAAACAGGAUUAGAUACCCGAGUAGUC